UCUGAAAAUUUCCUUGUUCCCACAAGACUUGAUUGAAAGAGUUAGUCAGGGCUGCAAUUCUGGAAUCCCAGUCCAUGAACGAGUUAUCUGUAAGCUACAACAGGUUAGAGUUUCACAAUUUAUUUAGUUUACAUUAUUAUGCUAUUAUGUAAGUUUGUGAUCUGGAAGAAUGCUUUUAUUGUACAUAUCCUAACAAUUGGUAUCAGAGACUUCUUACAUAUAACUGAUAAUGUAAUUACAGUUCAUGAUUGUGAAACAUAUUAUAUUAAAUUUGUAUAUAUCAUGUUGUUCUUUUGUUGAACACUUUUUUGUUUUUAAAAAAAUAUUUUUUGUACUCCAGAUUUGUAAGGAUUCAUCCCUAUUUAAAAAAUUGUUUUAAACAGUUAAUAUAUGAGCUUAUAUGUUGAAAUGUGUCCUCUUUCCCAUCGGGUAAACUUGUAUAUUUUGAUGUUGUUAUGUCUGUCUUUUGAUUUGUUGACUUGUGUUGACUUUUCAAUUAAGUUGUGUGUUGAAUCAAUGAACGAAAGACAAUAUAUACACUGACUAAAACUUCACAAAUUACUCUAUAACUGAGUUGAACUUGUCUUGUUCAAGUGGUACUAUAUAUAUGAACUUGUUCAUAUAUUUGUUUGAAUAGUUAAGUUCCCUAUUGAUUCUAACUGUUUAUUAGCAUGAUUAUAUGUGUUUUUUGUUUUGUUUUUUUUUUAAAAGAAAAGUAUAAAAUGUAUGUUACUUAUGAUCUAUUUUAAAUCUCUUAGAUUAGCAAUGUCACACUUCAAUUCUAUGUCCUCUAUCUUGAACUAAAACAAAUUGGAAGGUCCUAACUAUGUGGAUUAAAAACGAAACCUUGACAUUGUUCUAACAUAUGAGGGUUUCAAGUAUGUGCUGGUUGAAGAAAGCCCCAUUAAACCUAAACCCUACUGAUAAAGAGAUUAAGGCCUAUGAGAAAUGGGUCAAGGUUGAUGAGAUGGCAAGGUGCUACACUCUUUCCUUAAUAUUGAAUGUCUUGCAGCAUCAACAUCAGUCGAUGACUCUGCUUACGAUAUGCUCGGAUCUCUCAAAGAGAAGUUUGAAGUGCAGAUCGUGUUGCCAAGUAGACUGCCAUAAAGGCUAUCUUAACCACCAAGAUAGUUGAAGGAUCACCUGUCAAGGAUCAUAUGUUGAACAUGAUGAGUUAUCUGAAUGAGCUGGAGAUACUUGGUGCUGCUAUUGAUAUGGAAUCUCAGCAAACUCCUCUCCUUAUGGAGUACAUGGUGGGGAACAUAUCGCUUCUUUGUUUAAACCGGCUAAAGCCCAAAAGAAGAAGAAAAAGUCGUGCAAGGUUGUGGCACCCAGAGGUGCGACAUGUGGUGUGGCUAAGCUAAGGGCAACUGCUACUAUUGCAAGCAACAUGGUCACCAGGAGGCAAUGCCCUGACUGUCAAGACAAAAUGAAGCACAAAGGUAAUUCUUGUUUGAAUGUCGUUGAAACAUGUUUAGUGGUUGUUUCUACCCAAUUAUGGGUUGUAGAGUCGGGAGCAACUGACCAUGUUUGCACUUCUUUGCAGGGGUUUCAAGAAAUGUGGCGGCUAAGUGAGAAUAAAGUUUGUGUUGUUCAUGUGAAUGGGAACAAGCACCAGACGCAGCAAUAGGAAAUAUCUCUUUUUCUUUGAGUAAUUCCAGAAUUCUUUUUUCAAAAGAUGUCCUUUAAUUAUGUACCUUCGAUAAGAUGAAAUUUGCUUUUUGUUUAAAA